AAUUUCAAGUCAGCUCGGUCGGUCCGCCUACAAGCGAGUACUGAUUGGGCUGGCUUUCCUUCUGGCAAUCUAGCCUGCCUUUAAACGGGUGGACUAGAGAACCAGGACUUUUACUUUGAAAAAAUUAGAGUGUUCAAAGCAGGCCUACGCUUGGAUACAUUAGCAUGGAAUAAUAAAAUAGGGUUUUGGUUCUAUUUUGUUGGUUUCUAGAACUGAAGUAAUGAUUAAUAGGGACAGUUGGGGACAUUAGUAUUUCAGUGUCAGAGGUGAAAUUCUUGGAUUUCUGAAAGACUAACUACUGCGAAAGCAUUUGUCAAGGAUGUUUUCAUUAAUCAAGAACGAAAGUUAGGGGAUCGAAGACGAUUAGAUACCGUCGUAGUCUUAACCAUAAACUACGCCGACUCGGGAUCGGCCAGCUAUACUUAAUGUACUGGUCGGCACCGUAUGAGAAAUCAAAGUUUUUGGGUUCUGGGGGGAGUAUGGUCGCAAGGCUGAAACUUAAAGG
rnacentral:rRNA from 1 species